UGGCGGACGGGUGAGUAACGCGUGGAAAACCUGCCGUAUACUGGGGGAUAACACUUAGAAAUAGGUGCUAAUACCGCAUAAGCGCACAGCUUCGCAUGAAGCGGUGUGAAAAACUCUGGUGGUAUACGAUGGUUCCGCGUCUGAUUAGCUAGUUGGUGGGGUAAUGGCCUACCAAGGCAACGAUCAGUAGCCGGCCUGAGAGGGUGAACGGCCACAUUGGGACUGAGGCACGGCCCAAACUCCUACGGGAGGCAGCAG
rnacentral:rRNA from 1 species